rnacentral:misc_RNA from 1 species
UCCGGUUUAGCACCGGCAGUCUCCCCAGAGCCCUCGCCUUGACGCGUUAGCAACAUAGGACAAGGGUUGCGCUCGUUGCGGGACUUAACCCAACACCUCACGGCACGAGCUGACGACAACCAUGCACCACCUGUGAACCGGCCCCAAAGGGGAAACCACAUUUCUGCGGCGAUCCGGCCCAUGUCAAGCCUUGGUAAGGUUCUUCGCGUUGCAUCGAAUUAAUCCGCAUGCUCCGCCGCUUGUGUGGGCCCCCGUCAAUUCCUUUGAGUUUCAGUCUUGCGACCGUACUCCCCAGGCGGAGUGCUUAAUGUGUUGACUUCGGCACAGCAGGGGUCGAUACCCGCUACACCAAGCACUCAUCGUUUACGGCGUGGACUAC